UACAGGGUCUAAUUUGACAGGUUGGAAGCUAAUACCACUAUCAAAUCAUCCUGUUUUUUAUUUAACCAUAUAUAUAUACAUGGUUAAAUAAAAAACAGGAUGAUAUAUAUAUAUAUAUAUAUAUAUAUAUAUAUAUCUGGAUACAUCUAUUUUACCUGUUUUAUUUGCUUUAUAACUGUGUGUGUGUUUUACCUGUUGUAUGUUUUUACCUGCCUCGUUUAAUCUUGUCAACUGUUUGUUUUAAAGCACUGACCAGAAGUGGCAACUGUGAAUCUCGUUGUAUUUAAUACGAUGACAAUAAAGCUUUCUAUUCUA